GGUUUAGUUUCGGCUCAGCCCUACGGCAUUCAAAAGUCACAUUAAUAAAGUUAUUUUAAGAUAACAAGUGCUAUCUUAAGAUAACUCUAUUAAUGUGAUUUCGGAAUGCGUGUAUAUUCACAUAAAUGUCUUGAUUGUAAGAUAACUCGAGUUAUUUUAAGAUAACAUAAAUGUGAUAAUUCUAUCUUUUCUAAUGCGCAUAUGUGUAAAUGAACGUUGCUUAGGGUGCGGAUACGUAAAGUAGCUCACAAAACAACAGCCUACAUGAAUUUCCGGCCGUAUUGACAUUUAUUUUGAUACGUCAUUUGUAUUGUCCUUGUGGUGUCGCGUAUGUGCUCUGCUGUAGAGUUCGCUCUGCGGUGGAGAACAAGAUGCAUUUUGUUAGUUUUGUGUUGUGAUGUAUUGUCCCGUGUUAAUUAUGUAAAGAGAAUAAUUGUAAUUUUGGUACUAUUUUUAGUUAAAUUUUCUGCACAUCUUGCACAUCUUUUUUCUGCGCAUUCAGUCUUCAACAUGUAAUGACAGAGUCGAACAUACAUUUUUGUAUUAAAUUUGCUGUUGAGUGAAAUUUUUCUUUCAUACAUCACAGGAGUUGUCCUGUAUCUCAGCAUCUGUUUUAGUUGUUUUCUCUCACAUGUAGUUGGCUUGGCUUACGCCACUAUAUAUCUAGUUAAAUCUUGGCAUUCAUUUUUUUGCUUUGCUAAAUUGUAUUUUUGGUAAUAUAGACCAGACAGCCAAUUACUGAUAUGAAAAAUUGUAAGAAUAAUAUUAAACGAAGAUCCAUACAAUGUAAAUUGGAGAAACUGAUUACAUUACAACGAACGAGUGAAUGAUCAGUGAAAAACAAUCUAAGAAAUGUAUGGAUGCUGAGUCGUUUACAACACAUGUAAAAAUGUGCGCCAAAUAUAAUUUUUUUAAAAAAAUCUGCCGAAUUUAUGGAUACUGUGUCGUUGAUAGCAAGCACAAACUGUGUAUUUGCUUUCCCCUCUUGAAAAUUUUAGCG